UAAUAAUUUGGUUAUGGUUAUAUAGUUAGCUACUCCAUUAAAUUACACAUGCAAAUUUAUGUGCCCCCGUAAAUCUAGCCUGAACUGUCUUAAAGACUCAAUAGACUUUUAUUAGAAUUCUACUAUAAAGAUUACGCCUGCAGUGAAAAAUACUGAUUUAAUUAUGCAAAUAAGAUACGGUAAAUGGAAUCAAGACUGACCAAAUUCGUGCCAGCAGCCGCGGUUAAACGAUAGGUCUAAGCUAACUUCUUCGGAGAUAUGAAAUAAAAAAAAGAUAAUAAAAAAAAAUAUAAAGGUACAAUUUUAAUACUAAAUAAUUAAUAUUACCAAAUAAUCCCUUCAACAAAGUUAAGACCAAAACAAGGAUUAGAUACCCUUCUAUUCUUAACUACAACCCUUCCCUCCUGGCACUACGAGUACACACUUAAAACCUAAGAACUUGGCGGUGUUUCAACAUACUAGGGGAGCCUGUUUUUUAAUCGAUAACCCACGUUUAUUCCAACCUAAUCUUGAAUCCCAGCCUGUGUACUGCCGUCCAAAGUCUACAUAGUAAUAUUGUAGACUAAAUAAGUUAUCCUUAAUAUGUCAGGUCAAAGUGCAGCCCAUGAUUAGGCUAAAAUGGGCUACAUUUUUUAAAUAUUCAGAAUACACCUUAAAAAGUGUAUAAAGAUGGACUUAGCAGUAAAUUUAGAACAAAAUACUUCAUUGAAGAAGCUAAAUGAAACAUGCACAAAUCGCCCGUCGCUCUUUCUGAAAAGGAAGAUAAGUCGUAACAUAGUUAGUGUAAUGGAAAUUGCACUUAUCAAGAU
rnacentral:ncRNA from 1 species